GGUACCGCCUGCCCAGUGACUCUUUAAACGGCCGCGGUAUCCUAACCGUGCAAAGGUAGCAUAAUCACUUGUCCCAUAAAUCGAGACUAGAAUGAAUGGCUAAAUGAAGACUAAACUGUCUCUUGCAGGCAAGCCAAUGAAAUUGAUUUUCCAGUACAAAAGCUGAAAUAUAACCAUAAGACGAGAAGACCCUGUGGAGCUUCAAAACCAAACUCAUCAACCAUGCUUCCUUGGGUUUUUAGUUGGGGCGACUUCGGAGCAUAAAAAAACCUCCGAAAUAUGAAAUUUGACUGAGACCAACACACCAAAAACAAUAUCAUAAGACCCAGCAACCACCUCGUGUUGACUGACCAAUGAACCAAGUUACCCCAGGGAUAACAGCGCCAUCCCCUUCUAGAGUCCCUAUCGACAAGGGGGUUUACGACCUCGAUGUUGGAUCAGGACACCCCAAUGGUGCAGCCGCCAUUAAAGGUUCGUUUGUUCAACGAUUAAAGUCCUA
rnacentral:rRNA from 1 species